UGGGGAAUUUUGGACAAUGGGCGAAAGCCUGAUCCAGCGACGCCGCGUGGAUGAUGAAAGCCUUCGGGCUGUAAAGUCCUUUCAAUAGGGAAGAUAAUGACGGUACCUAUAGAAGAAGCUCCGGCUAACUUCGUGCCAGCAGCCGCGGUAAUACGAAGGGAGCUAGCGUUACUCGGAAUUACUGGGCGUAAAGCGUGCGUAGGCGGCAUGGUAAGUUGGGAGUGAAAGCCCUGGGCUCAACCUAGGAAUGGCUCUCAAAACUACCAAGCUAGAAUACUUGAGGGGAUGGCGGAAUUCCUAAUGUAGAGGUGAAAUUCGUAGAUAUUAGGAGGAACACCGGAGGCGAAGGCGGCCAUCUGGCAAGAUAUUGACGCUGUUGCACGAAAGCGUGGGGAGCAAA
rnacentral:rRNA from 1 species